rnacentral:misc_RNA from 1 species
GAUGAAGAACGCAGCGAAAUGCGAUAACUAAUGUGAAUUGCAUAAUUCAGUGAAUCAUCGAGUCUUUGAACGCACAUUGCGCCCCCUGGUAUUCCGGGGGGCAUGCCUGUCCGAGCGUCAUUGCUGCCCUCAAGCCCGGCUUGUGUGUUGGGUCGCCGUCCCCCUCUCCGGGGGGACGGGCCCGAAAGGCAGCGGCGGCACCGCGUCCGAUCCUCGAGCGUAUGGGGCUUUGUCACAUGCUCUGUAGGAUUGGCCGGCGCCUGCCGACGUUUUCCAACCAUUUUUUCCAGGUUGACCUCGGAUCAGGUAGGGAUACCCGCUGAACUUAAGCAUAUCAAUAAGCGGAGGA